GAGUCCCUUUUUUUUUGUUGGCGGCGUCAGGAAAAGCGUAGCCUGCUGAUUGGUUAAAAGUUUCUAUUUUUUUGGAAUAUUGUUUAUCUACUUGUUAGUGGAACUCCUAAGCUAGUGACCAGCACGUUGCGCUAAAAACUAAAAUUACUUAAAUAGAAAUUGCACUAGAAAAUAAUGCGGCCUAUGUUGCGCGCACUUGGCUUUCGUUACCUCAACUGCACGGAAAUGGGAAUAAUGAGACCACGGCCGGAGAGAGAGUGAGAGAUAGAGAGCCGGGAAAUAACGGAGAGUUCAAGAGAGAACCCGCCCCCAAAACAGGCGCGAAUCUUUAACCGAUUCGCCAAACGGUUCGAAUUUAAAAUUUGUGUUUUUAUCAAAAAAUCCAUGCAAGCCAUGAGUUUAUUUCUAUAGAGGUGACGUUUAAAAUGCCUUAGUAAAUCACUUUGUACCGGAAUCGCCAGCGAUUAACACUGUGUUCGGCUCGAGUUAAAAUCUUUUCUGUGUUUUGUUCCAAAUUCUUGUUAGAAUGCCCGCAAAGAAGGACUCGACCAAGGGCUCAAAAAAAGGAGCGGCGGCUCCUGCCGGGGCGAAACCGACCGCCGAUCCUGUGACAUCUGGAUCGACUGCCACCGUGGAACCAGCCGCCAAGGAAGCCAAAGGUGCCAAAAAGGGCAAAGGCAAGAAGAAGUAACAUUUCCAUCUGGAUUUCUAGGAACUGGCGUUAAUGGCAUAAGAAGUAAUUAAAUUCCAGCAAAGAAAAUAAUGAGAAAAUAAAACGCUGCUAAACAGGG